UGAGCUGGUCAGAAGUGAAGCGGCAACAGCUCAAAUUUGAAAUCUGGCCGCAAGGUCCGAGUUGUAAUUUGUAGAGGAUGCUUUUGGCGAGGUGACUUCCGAGUUCCCUGGAACGGGACGCCAUAGAGGGUGAGAGCCCCGUACGGUCGUGCCACCGAGCCUCUGUAAAGCUCCUUCGACGAGUCGAGUAGUUUGGGAAUGCUGCUCUAAAUGGGAGGUGUACGUCUUCUAAAGCUAAAUACCGGCCAGAGACCGAUAGCGCACAAGUAGAGUGAUCGAAAGAUGAAAAGCACUUUGAAAAGAGGGUUAAAAAGUACGUGAAAUUGUUGAAAGGGAAGCAUUCAUGACCAGACUUGGGCUUGGUUGAACAUCCGGCGUUCUCGCCGGUGCACUCUGCCAGCUCAGGCCAGCAUCAGUUUGCCCCGGGGGACAAAGGCGGUGGGAAUGUAGCUCCCUUCGGGGAGUGUUAUAGCCCGCCGUGUAAUGCCCUGGGGUGGACUGAGGUUCGCGCUUCGGCACGGAUGCUGGCGUAAUGGUCAUCAAUGACCCGUCUUGAAACACGGACCAAGGAGUCGUCUUCGUAUGCGAGUGUUCGGGUGUCAAACCCCUACGCGUAAUGAAAGUGAACGUAGGUGAGAGCUUCGGCGCAUCACCGACCGAUCCUGAUGUUCUCGGAUGGAUUUGAGUAAGAGCAUACGGGGCCGGACCCGAAAGAAGGUGAACUAUGCCUGUAUAGGGUGAAGCCAGAGGAAACUCUGGUGGAGGCUCGCAGCGGUUCUGACGUGCAAAUCGAUCGUCAAAUAUGGGCAUGGGGGCGAAAGACUAAUCGAACCUUCUAGUAGCUGGUUUCCGCCGAAGUUUCCCUCAGGAUAGCAGUGUUGAACUCAGUUUUAUGAGGUAAAGCGAAUGAUUAGGGACCCGGGGGCGCUAUUUAGCCUUCAUCCAUUCUCAAACUUUAAAUAUGUAAGAAGCCCUUGUUGCUUAAUUGAACGUGGGCAUUCGAAUGUAUCAACACUAGUGGGCCAUUUUUGGUAAGCAGAACUGGCGAUGCGGGAUGAACCGAACGCGAGGUUAAGGUGCCAGAGUAGACGCUCAUCAGACACCACAAAAGGUGUUAGUACAUCUUGACAGCAGGACGGUGGCCAUGGAAGUCGGAAUCCGCUAAGGACUGUGUAACAACUCACCUGCCGAAUGUACUAGCCCUGAAAAUGGAUGGCGCUCAAGCGUCUCACCCAUACCUCGCCCUCAGGGUUGAAAUGAUGCCCUGAGGAGUAGGCGGACGUAG
rnacentral:rRNA from 1 species